rnacentral:rRNA from 1 species
UAUUGCACAAUGGGGGAAACCCUGAUGCAGCGACGCCGCGUGGGCGAAGAAGUAUUUCGGUAUGUAAAGCCCUAUCGGCAGGGAAGAAGAAAGGACGGUACCUGAGCAAGAAGCACCGGCUAAAUACGUGCCAGCAGCCGCGGUAAUACGUAUGGUGCAAGCGUUAUCCGGAUUUACUGGGUGUAAAGGGAGCGCAGGCGGCACGGCGAGCCUGAUGUGAAAGCCCGCGGCCCAACCGCGGGACUGCAUUGGGAACUGCCAGGCUGGAGUGUCGGAGGGGCAGGCGGAAUUCCUAGUGUAGCGGUGAAAUGCGUAGAUAUUAGGAGGAACACCGGUGGCGAAGGCGGCCUGCUGGACGACAACUGACGCUGAGGCUCGAAAGCGUGGGGAGCAAACAGG